rnacentral:rRNA from 1 species
UACAGAGGGUGCGAGCGUUGUUCGGAAUUAUUGGGCGUAAAGCGCGCGCAGGCGGGCUGGUAAGUCGGAUGUGAAAGCCCUCGGCUCAACCGAGGAAGUGCGUUCGAAACUAGUGUUCUUGAGUGUCGGAGAGGGUGGCGGAAUUCCCGGUGUAGAAGUGAAAUUCGUAGAUAUCGGGAGGAACACCAGAGGCGAAGGCGGCCACCUGGACGAACACUGACGCUGAGGCGCGAAAGCGUGGGGAGCAAACAGG